rnacentral:lncRNA from 1 species
AGAUUCUUGGUAGUUCAUCAGUUCCGACCUUGGAUGAUGUGUUUGCUCGCCUCCUCCGUAUCUCGUCCACUCAGACUUUGCCAUCUGAUAGCGCUUCAGAUUCUUCUGUGUUAGUUUCUCAAACUACCUCUCGAGGAGGACGUAGUGGUACUCGAGGUAGAGGCCAACGUCCUCAUUGCACCUAUUGCAAUAAACUUGGCCACACUCGCGAUCGUUGCUAUCAGUUACAUGGAAGACCUCCUCGCACUGCCCAUAUGGCCCAGUCCUCUGAUUCUCCGCUGCCUCAGCCUCCGAGCUCCUCCGCAUCUCAGACAUCUCAGGCUUCUAUUGCCUCUGUUGCCCAGCCUGGUAAUGCCUCUGCCUGCCUUACCCACACAUCUUCUCUUGGACCCUGGAUUCUAGAUUCUGGAGCAUCUGAUCACCUAUCUGGUAAUAAGGAUCUUUUCUCCUCUAUUACUACUACCUCUGAUUUACCUACUGUUACCUUAGCUAAUGGUUCUCAAACUGUGGCUAAAGGUAUUGGUUUGACCCUUCCUUUGCCUUCUCUACCUCUCACUUCUGUCCUUUAUACUCCUGAAUGUCCUUUUAAUCUUAUUUCCAUCAGCAAAAUCACUCGUACUCUUAAUUGCUCUAUUACCUUUUCUGAUAAAUUUAUGACCUUGCAGGACCGGAGUACGGGGAAGACGAUUGGCAUAGGACGUGAGUCUCAAGGCCUCUAUCACCUCACCUCAGAUUCAUCUCCUGCAGUUUGCAUUUCCACUGAUGCUCCUCUCCUCAUUCACAAUCGUCUGGGCCACCCUAGUCUCUCCAAGUUCCAGAAGAUGGUUCCUCGUUUUUCCACUUUGUCGUCGCUUCCGUGUGAGUCAUGUCAGCUUGGGAAACAUACUCGUGUCUCGUUCCCAAAGCGUUUGAAUAAUCGGGCAAAGUCUCCUUUUGAGCUUGUCCACACUGAUGUUUGGGGUCCUUGUCGGACUGCGUCUACUUUAGGAUUUCAGUAUUUUGUCACUUUCAUUGAUGACUAUUCUCGAUGUACUUGGUUAUUCUUAAUGAAAAAUCGAGCUGAGUUAUUCUCUAUUUUCCAGAAAUUUUAUACUGAAAUCCAAACCCAGUUCAAUAUUUCUAUUCGUGUGUUACGCAGUGACAAUGCCAGGGAAUAUUUUUCAGCCCAAUUUACUUCGUUUAUGUCUCAUCAUGGGAUUCUUCAUCAGUCUUCUUGUGCUCAUACUCCUCAACAAAAUGGGGUAGCUGAACGCAAGAAUCGACAUCUUGUUGAGACAGCUCGUACUCUCCUCCUCCAUAAUCAUGUUCCUUUUCGUUUUUGGGGGGACGCUGUUCUUACCGCUUGUUAUUUGAUUAAUCGUAUGCCCUCCUCUGUCUUACACGAUCAGAUUCCUCACUCCCUUCUUUUCCCUGACCAACCACUUUAUUUCCUUCCUCCUCGUGUCUUUGGUUGUACUUGCUUUGUUCAUAUUCUCACUCCUGGACAGGACAAGCUUUCCGCCAAAGCCAUGAAGUGCCUCUUCUUGGGAUAUUCCAGACUUCAGAAGGGUUAUCGUUGUUAUUCCCUUGAGACUCAUCGGUACUUUAUCUCCGCUGAUGUCACCUUCUUUGAGGACUCACCAUUCUUUUCCACCACCUCUGAGUCUCUUCCUGUUUCUGAAGUCUUGCCCAUUCCCAUUGUCUCCCCACCUGAUGCUAUGCCCCCUCGACCACUUCAGGUUUAUCAUCGUCGCCCUCGUGUCGUUGCUCCUCUCCCUUUUCCUGAGGCACCUGCUGACUCACUUCCUAUCCCUUCGGCUUCACUUGCCCCGGCUCUGCCUUCUCCUAAUGACUUACCCAUUGCUGUUCGGAAAGGUACUCGCUCUACUCGUAAUCCUCAUCCUAUUUACAAUUUUUUGAGUUAUCAUCGAUUAUCUUCACCCUAUUCUGCUUUUGUUUCUGCUAUAUCCUCUGUUUCUCUUCCAAAGAGCACCCAUGAAGCUUUUUCCCAUCCAGGCUGGCGAUAGGCAAUGGUGGAUGAAAUGGCUGCUCUGCACUCUAAUGACACUUGGGAUCUUGUUGUUUUACCCUCUGGUAAAUCUACAGGGUGUUGUCGUUGGGUCUAUGCAGUUAAGGUUGGUCCUGAUGGUCAGGUUGAUCGCCUUAAGGCCCGCUUAGUUGCUAAAGGCUAUACUCAAGUUUAUGGUUCUGAUUAUGGUGACACAUUCUCCCCUGUUGCCAAGAUUGCUUCUGUCCGCUUGCUUCUGUCCAUGGCUGCUAUGUGUUCUUGGCCUCUUUAUCAGUUGGAUAUUAAAAAUGCCUUCCUUCAUGGUGAUCUUGCUGAGAAAGUUUAUAUGGAGCAACCUCCUGGUUUUGUUGCUCAGGGGGAGUCUGGUUUAGUGUGCAGGUUACGCCGCUCUCUAUAUGGCUUGAAACAAUCUCCUCGAGCAUGGUUUAGCCGUUUUAGUUCUGUUGUUCAAGAGUUUGGCAUGCUUCGCAGUACAGCAGACCAUUCAGUUUUUUAUCAUCAUAACUCCUUGGGGCAGUGUAUUUAUCUGGUUGUUUAUGUGGACGACAUCGUCAUUACAGGCAGUGAUCAGGAUGGUAUUCAGAAACUAAAGCAACAUCUUUUUACCCACUUUCAGACCAAAGACUUGGGGAAACUCAAGUAUUUCUUGGGAAUUGAGAUAGCUCAAUCCAGUUCUGGUGUGGUCCUUUCCCAAAGGAAGUAUGCUUUAGACAUCCUGGAAGAAACCGGUAUGUUAGACUGUAAACCGGUAGACACACCUAUGGAUCCGAAUGUCAAACUUGUACCAGGACAGGGGGAGCCUUUAGGAGACCCCGGGAGAUAUCGACGGCUCGUAGGUAAAUUGAACUAUCUCACCAUUACUCGUCCAGACAUUUCUUUUCCUGUGAGUGUUGUUAGUCAAUUCCUACAGUCACCAUGUGAUAGCCAUUGGGAUGCCGUAAUCCGUAUUCUUCGAUAUAUCAAAAGUACACCAGGCCAAGGUGUAUUGUACGAGAACAGAGGUCAUACUCAAGUUGUUGGUUACACAGAUGCAGAUUGGGCUGGCUCACCCACAGAUAGACGUUCCACUUCAGGGUACUGUGUUUUUAUUGGAGGUAAUCUAAUAUCUUGGAAGAGUAAGAAACAAGAUGUAGUGGCCAGAUCUAGCGCUGAAGCCGAGUAUCGAGCUAUGGCUUUGGCAACAUGUGAACUCAUAUGGUUGAGACAUCUUCUUCAGGAGUUGAGAUUUGGAAAGGAUGAACAGAUGAAACUCAUCUGUGAUAACCAGGCCGCAUUACAUAUUGCAUCCAAUCCAGUCUUUCAUGAAAGGACCAAGCAUAUUGAAGUUGACUGUCAUUUCAUUAGAGAGAAGAUCGCAUCAGGAUGUGUUGCUACAAGUUUUGUCAAUUCAAAUGAUCAACUAGCAGACAUCUUCACUAAAUCUCUCAGAGGUCCUAGGAUUAAAUAUAUUUGUAACAAGCUUGGUGCAUAUGACGUAUAUGCUCCAGCUUGAGGGAGAGUGUUGAAUAUAAUGUAUGUAUAGUAUACUAUCUUUCCUUGUUAAUAUAGGUCACAUGUAUGGUAGUUAGGACUCCUAGCCUUGUAUAUAUAUAUCUCUCAAUUGUAAGUAGAGAUUACAAUGAAUGUGAAUAAGGUUUUUCUCCUUUCUCUCUCUCUCUCUCAACACUUACCAUCUUCUAAGUUCUUAAUGUUAAACUGUAGUGGCUAAUGAAAUUAAGACAUGAGGAGUUAAUUUCCUCCUGCUUUAAACAAUGUUCAAGAUCUGACUAUGGUUUCUGGCUCUAUCAAACUUAUACCUUAGGAUCCUAAAAUGAUGUAAUGCUGUGAGCCUAUGAUCCUUCUUCUAAUGUAGAAAGCUAGAUUGGAUAUCAGUUCUCAUUAAUUUGAAGGAAGGUGACUGGUUUUUUUUCCUAAUGCUGUGAGCCUAUGAUCCUUCCUCUAAAGUAUAACAAUAUGGCAAAAUUAGUUAUGCAGAAAGCUAGAUUGGAUAUCGUUCUCUUUAAUUUGAAUGAAGGUGACUAGGUUUUUUUUUCCUUCUGUGGAGUCAUUUUGUGUGCAUAUUCUGAACUCAUGAGUCCUUCAUGCCUUUCUAUUUUCAGUUGACUAUUUAUCUGCCACAUUUUAACUGCUGUCCAAAAGCUGAUUAUCACUAAAUUAUGGAUUUCAAAUGUCACAGAUGGCUUGAGAACAUUCGAGAUUGGUGCGUCUCAAGGCAACUUUGGUGGGGCCACCGCAUUCCUGCAUGGUAUGUGACAUUGGAGGAUGACAAAAUGAAGGAACUUGGUGCAUACACUGACCACUGGGUGGUUGCUAGAAAUGAGGAAGAGGCUCAAAUUGAGGCUAGCAGAAUGUUUCCUGGGAAGAACUUUCAGAUAUCUCAAGAUCCUGAUGUACUGGACACAUGGUUUUCUUCUGGUCUCUUCCCAUUAACUGUGUUGGGCUGGCCAGAUGAUACACAAGAUUUGAAGGCAUUUUAUCCAACUUCAGUUCUGGAAACUGGGCAUGACAUUCUCUUUUUCUGGGUUGCUCGGAUGGUGAUGUUAGGUAUUAAGCUGGGAGGUGAUGUGCCUUUUAGAAAGGUGAGUGAACUUUGCUAUCAUCUAUGAUUAGCCAAAUUGUGGAAACUUGUUAGUUGUGAUUGGGUUGCUUGUGGGGCUUCUGGUACUUCAUCUGUGUGAGUUAUGGUAGGGAGUUUCAAAUCAUGCCCCAUGUUAUGAUGGAGAAUUUCAAAUAAUGCAAAUAGCCUAGGCUCUUUAUUGCAGUCUCCUAAUAGUACCUCUUGGUGCUAUCUGCCAUGGGUCAGUGACAGAUGUAUCUUUCCCUUGAUACACUUCCCUCCCCUAAAAAAUAUGCAUUAAUUGGAAAUCACAUUGAAACAAUUUUUGUGCAGUCCUGUCAUAUGUGGGGUCACGGGUACAAUAGCAGUUGAGGUGCAGUAGGAAAAUAAGAAAAAAUUGUACUCUACUUUAAAUGAUUAAUUUAUGUGUGCAAAUUUCUAUUAAAUUAGUCUAAGCAAAUCCAUGGAUGUACAUGAACUUUCUGCAGGUUUAUUUGCAUCCCAUGAUUCGUGAUGCACAUGGGCGUAAGAUGUCUAAGUCGUUGGGAAAUGUUAUUGACCCUCUUGAAGUGAUAAAUGGGAUAUCCCUUGAAGGUCUUCACAAGAGGUUGGAAGAGGGUAACUUGGAUCCCAGUGAACUGGUAGUUGCCAAAGAGGGACAGGUGAAGGACUUCCCUAAUGGUAUUGCUGAAUGUGGUGCAGAUGCUCUUCGUUUUGCUCUUGUGACUUAUACAGCACAGGUUUGUACGUCUACCAAUCUAUUUAUCUCCUAUUUGGUUUUGUUUCCUUGAUAUAUCAAUUUUGUAACCUUGCAUCAUCUGAUCAUUCCAGUCUGAUAGAAUAAAUUUGGAUAUCCAAAGAGUUGUUGGGUAUCGCCAAUGGUGUAAUAAACUGUGGAAUGCUAUACGAUUUGCUAUGAGCAAGCUUGGAGAUGAUUACACCCCACCGAUGGAAAUAGUUCCAGAUGUUAUGCCAUUUACCUGCCAAUGGAUACUCUCUGUACUGAACAAGGCUAUAUCAAAAACAGUGUCAUCAAUGGAUUCAUAUGAAUUUGCGGAUGCUGCCAGCACAGUAUAUUCAUGGUGGCAGUUCCAAUUGUGUGAUGUAUUCAUUGAAGUAGUUAAACCUUUCUUCUCUAGUAAUGAUCCUAAAUUUGCAUCUGCGAGGAGGUUUGCCCAAGAUACACUGUGGGUAUGUUUGGACAAUGGGCUGCGGUUGCUUCAUCCAUUUAUGCCAUUUGUUACAGAAGAAUUGUGGCAGCGCCUUCCUCCAGCAAGAGAUUGUGCUAGGAAAGAAUCAAUUGUGAUAUCCGACUACCCAUCAGUUGUACAGGUUAGUUACUAUUUUUUAAUUGAAAGUGUCCAAGACACAAAGUGGUAGAAAAUGAGAUGGUUUACCUGGAGGUGGAGACACUAUUUGAUGAUUCUUGACAUAGGGGAUCUGUUUAAUAGGAAUUUAUAUACCAGCUAGCAUUAUUCAUCAUUAUCAGUAGGGAUCAGUUCAGAUGCAUCAGAUGAUACCCAAACCAAGCAAAAAGUAAAUUAUCACAUGAAUUGUUUCACUGGACUAUACUUUAACAUAAUGUGAUACUUUUAAAUUGAUACAUACAAGCUAAUAGAUAAUUCAUAUGCCUUCACAGGAAAGUACAUUAUGAUGCAUUUAGUUAUUUUUAUCUGAUUGUACUACAAUUACCUGCAAUAUUGUCCCCUGCCGAAAGAAAAAGUAGUGUCCAACAUUAGUUAUUCCCUAGGCUUCACAUUUGUUUAGUUAAGUUGCAAUAUUUUUAUCCAAUUUUUUGUUGUCUUUUUGCUAGUUUUACUUUUAUCCUUUUCUUUUUGGGUUUUUAUUUUUUAUUUUUUAAAAUUUAAUUUUCUCUUCAUUUUUUAUAUAAAAUUUUUCACUUUCAUUUUAGUGGGGUGCAUGCCAAGUGUUAAGAGGUUUUAAAAUUCUAGCUGAAGGCAAAUUUUACUUCUAAUUUGCUUAAACUCUGUUGAUAUCUCAUUUUCUUUUACAGUGUUGGACAAAUGAAAGAGUAGAGUAUGAGAUGGACCUCGUGGAGUCUACUGUGAAAUCACUUAGGUCUCUCAGGUCUUUGAUGCCUGCUAAGGAACGGCAUGAAAGGUAAAUAUUUGAAUUCACUUGGGCUAUUGUCUGUGUUUCUUGCAACAUUUGAUCUGUAUCGUUUUCUUUUCAUUUCUUCUAGUAUUUUCUGCCAGGAAAGUACUACAAUCAAUUUCCGUGAAUUGAAAUCUUGUUGUAAUUGUGGUGUGCUAAUGCUGAAACUGAUUCUGAUUUUCAAGUUCUUUUGGGAUCUUUCUUAUAAUUUGUCAAAAAUUAUAUAACAAAUACAUUUUCAUGUUCUUUUUCAGUUAACUCUAAAAUUUAAUGAACAAAAAAUAUUUGACUCAUGCUGCUCAUAAAUACUAUAAGAGUAAAAUGUCACAUAAUUGCAUGAUGUAGUCGCAAAGGGAGCAAAAGAUUGUUGAGUGAGUGAUUGGUGAUAAGAUAUGUUCCAUGAAUAGAAAAUUGACAUAUUUCCAUAAAGAAAAUUGACAGAUGUUUUGAUGUCCUCAGUUCUAGGUGAAAAUAUACAAAGAUAAUUUGAAGUAACACAAUUAGCGAUGCACGUUAUUGGUUCUGUUUGUAGAUUGCCUCAAAGACAAUCUUGUUCAAUGUUGUAUGUUGGCUAAAGAGAUUGACUAUUUAGAAUUUUUUGAUAAGAAGCAAGAUUUAUUAAUCAUAUCAAGGGAAAUGUACAAGGAAGAACCAAAGAUCUCUCACAAUUAAAAGAGAAGGGGAAAAAAAAAAUUGAACCAAGUGUGAACCAUCUCCUUCUCUUUAACCAUUCAAGGAGGAUAGUGAUUCCCUAUGAAUGCCUCUAGAAAUGUUUCUCCCAUCUUUGCCCACCAGGUGCCUAGAGAUAUCAAGAAUUCUCCUCCUCUGGUGAUCUAACACCAUGGAACCCACUUCCCAUUGCAGCCUGAAAGAUAACAACUAAGGAGCUAUCAUUCAACAAUAAAUUUCAUAACCCUAGAGGAACAUAAUUCUUUUCAGCCCUCUAACAAUGAUAGAAUGAUUGCAGGAAGCCUGAAAUUUAUGGCUGUUCAAAAGAGGAUAUUUGGGGUUGAGGGGUUUCACUUGUUUCUUUUGUUUUCUUUUGGCAUUUUCUGUAUAUUUAUUGUGUACCUAGGUUCCUCCCCACCCUCUCUUUUUGUUAUAUGCUUUUAAUAAGUUAUUUUCUUUGCUUAUCAAAAUAAUAAUAACAAUAAUAAAAGAGCUUGGAGAACCCUGUUAAUAUAUCCUCUAAUUCCUAUCUGACCCUGCAUGGUGGGGUUGGAUAGUGGUAGUGGUGUCGUUGUUGGGUUCCAAUUCAGCAUUUACCUAUGAUUCUACUAGUAGACAAUCCCCCAAUCUAUAGCAAUAAUAUUGAAGGGAUGCUGACAGAUUCCUUGGUGGAAUACACAAGGGAAAUUGGUUGACAGAUUCUGUCCCUUGUAUCACUGUCCCUUGCUUACACGUUCUAACCUUUACAUUCCUUCCAACCAUAUCGCAUAGUGGUUAGCUUGGUGUACUUCCAUGGUUCCUUACUCAUUUUCUCCUAUCAAAUUGCUCUGACAAAAAAAUUAUCAUGUUCUCUUAUUUAGAGCCCCAUUCCAUGGGAUCCUUGCCAUGGGACUUGUAAAAGAUUGAACAACAUCAGAAGAAAUGGUCGGCUGAUAUCCCACUUGCCAUAUCCAUCUAGGCUAAUGGCUUUAUAAUUUCUCCUACCUUGGAACAUGUCAUUGACAUUAACCUUCUUAUGAGCUACUAACCAUUAAAAAGCUUUGAUGAUAGUGUGGGAAGGGAUCAUUUGCUUUUCAUAUGUAUCUGGUUGGAAGGAGUGUGCCAAUAUUUUCACUCUUGGAGAGGCUAUUAGAAGGAUUUAAAAGCGAAAAAUGUUCCUGGUAUCUAAACUCCAACAUCUCUUAUUGAAAGAAAAUCAGGCAAAUAAACAUCUUAAAAGGAUGAUAACAGAAAAGGAAGGUUGUUCUACUCAAGAGCACAAGAUUUCAACAGAAGUUGAAAAUCUGAGAUGGUGGAUGAUAACAGAAAAGGAAGGUUGUUCUACUCAAGAGCACGAGAUUUAAACAGAAGUUGAAAAUCUGAAAUGGUGAGUGAUGUAGAAUGAUAGAGAGAAUAAUAUAGAGUGAAAUAGAAACAGAAGAGUGAUUCUCCAAGAAAAUUUCGAAUAUUAUCAAAGUUUAGUUUUUAUCUCACUAGAGCUAUAUAGAGAUAAGCAAUCUUAACUCAAGUAGGAAACUAAUUCUAAUAAUAAUAUAAAGAAUUUUUACUAUAAUAAAACAAUACACUAAAUAAUAACCACCCUAAAAUAAAUAACGGAAUAAAAACAUUAUCCCUUCCAUUAUUUAUGUCUAACAUUAGUGUGUAAUUUAACAUCUUUAUCUCCAUCAUUUUCACCUUAUUGAAAAGAAUUCGACUUUGGUGAGUUAUAUUGCAUAUAUUGCUCCAAAAGAUUAGGAUCGAGUUGAAGGAACUCCUCAUCAGUAAUUCAAGUAUCAUCAGUUGGCAGCAAUGAAGCAUAAGGAGCAUGAGGUACUGAAAUGGAGGAUUGUACUGCACAAAUAGAAGAAGACAAAACUGGCAGCAAUGAAGCAUAAGGAGCAUGAGGUACUGGAAUGGAGGAUUGUACUGCAAAAAUAGAAGAAGACAAAACUGGAGGUUUGAAUAUGCCUCAGGGUAAGGAAAUGAAUCUGUCACCUUGAAAGUUGGAGUAGUCCUAGGGUUUGGUCAAGUACUGACUAUGACUGAUAAAUAGACCUAAGGGCUAGGAUGAAGCUGACAAGAAUUGGCAUGUUGGAAAGGGGCACGCCUCAUGGGGCAAGAAGUAUUUUUUAAUUUCUAUGGCCUUAUGUAAGCUUCCUCUUAAGGAACUAGGAGAAUAUAAACUUACCACACUAAAAAUUUCAGUUCUCAAACUAUUUAUAAACCUAAUAACAGUAACCUAAUAAUCUUGGUAAAUACCACAAUGUAACAUUAGUUUCUCAAAUUAGGCCAUAUACUCACUAACAGAGGAAGUAGUUUGCCUAAGGUUCAAUAAUUGUGCCUAAUAAGUGAUUUCUAUGAGAGGCUGGUAGGUACUUUUAUGUCAGUCUUCGUCUUUUCCUACACACUAAACCUAUACAGUUGAUGUUAGGCAAGACUGAUUGCUAAUAACACUUAGCAAGCCCUACUAAUUCAUCAUAGCAAAAUGAACUCAUGGAAUGGUGGUCAUGCCAUAUGAAUCAAAGUAAUCUUUAACAUUUACUAAUUAAUCAAGAAACAUCUGGGUUUGGCCCAUCAGGAAACUCUGGAGUGUCUUCCUUGAUCUCCUAGUGAUAUCACCUUACCUCAUCUUGGAUAUACUUAGAUUGUUCAUAAUGAUACUAUAGAGGCAAAGGUUUAUAUUGUUGAUAAUGAUAUCUACCCUGAGGCCCCCUGUGCUUAAAGGUAUUCCUAGGGCCUUCAUUGACAAAUUGUGAUCUAGACUCUUUCCAAUCUCCAAUAAUAAUCAUUAGGGCACCAAAAGCUUCAUCAUCGUUAACAUCCUCAUCCUCAUCCUCAUCUACUACUCUUACCAUUUACUAUAUCUUUAUGUAUAGGUGACUUUCUUAGAUGUGUAGGUGGCAAAACCAGUUGGGACUUCUCAAGUCCUCUAUGGUUUACACUCUGGAUUUUUCAAUAAAUGACUUAGGUCCACUGCAAGUUUGGUCACAAUAGCUUUUAGCUAAGCUUGUAGAGUUAUUGCAAUGGGUUUUGUACAUCCCUUUGAAAGGCCAGGUGAGAUUGUUCUAAUUUAGUGACUUUCUUGUUUGGUGAAAAACAAAAAUUGGGAAAAAAUGGAAAUAAGGACAAAGUAUUAAAAAAGGGAUAAUGCUGAGAUAAACUUGUAUUGCUUCAGUUAAUAUCAAGUUACUCUUAGAAUGGAUGCACAUAAUAGGGAUAAAAACUCAAAUAAAGGACUAUGCAAUGACUCUAAAAGAAAGACAAAAGGUGUGGAAUAGAUAUGAAAUAAGUAAAGAUAAAUAAAGGAAAAACUGAAAUAAAUAGCUUAGUUUUUUUUCCCUUCCCUCUAUUUUUUCUCUUUCUUUUUUGAAGGUAAUAGGCAAAAAAGGAAAUAAGAAUAAAUUUAGGAAUCCUAGUGCAUUAAGCACUUAGAAAAACUACCUAAUGAGACUUAAUGGAGGUAUUAAGCACUUAGAUUGGUGCAAGAUUUAGAUGAUGCAAAACAUGUUGCAACAUAAGUGGCAGUAGUUAGUGGUGAGUAUUUCAUGUUGCAAAACACUUCCAUAAAUUGACCUUUGAUAUUAAUUGACGUGGGAUAAUAUAGAGAAAAGAAUACAAAGGAGUGAAAUCGAAGUGGAAGAGAGAAAUUCUAAAAGAAUUAUGAAUAUUAUUUGUUGAAUAUAAUGUAUGUAUAGUAUAUUAUCUUUCCUUGUUAAUAUAGGUCACAUGUAUGGUAGUUAGGACUCCUAGCCUUGUAUAUAUAUAUCUCUCAAUUGUAAGUAGAGAUUACAUGAAUGAGAAUUAAGGUUUUUCUUCUUUCUCUCAUUCUCUCUCAACAUGGUAUCAGAGCCAAGGAAGAAAACCUAAUUCUUUCCUGUUUCUCGUGUCAUCAACUCCGGGAAACCUUCCGGUGACCGUGUUUCUUUCCGGUCACCUUCCCCAUCUCCCAAUACUUUCCGAUCAGUCGGAUCGUCGUUAGAAACCACUCACCGCCGGCGAACUUUCCGGCGACCUAUUUUUCCGACACCGACCAUACCAGAAGGAGCGCCUGAAGGAGAUCUCCAACUUUUGUGAAGGCAUCGGCACCAAAAAGAGCAUCCACGCGUCGUCCACGCUCCAUUUUCCGGACGACGGCUGCAUCUCACGCGCUGGCGCGUGAGGCAUUUUCCGGCGAAACGCCUCCUCCUCCAGUUUCGCCUGACGCUGACCAGCCUCCCUACCUCCCUGGUUCUCCCAUCCGAGCCCUGCACGUACCUCUUUUGGGGAUUUUUGUCUUCGUCGGCCCUCCAAACAGUCUUUCCGGCGAAGCUCCGACUACUUUUUCUCCACUCCAAUCCCUGCACGUGUCUUGGUAAGUGUUCUUCUACCUUUCUGGUGGUACCACGCCGUGAUCUGAGGCCGUCUCCCUUUUUCAGUGGUGCCACGCCGCAAUCUGAAGCCGUAUUAGGGCUCUCUUCGAUCCAAACAUACUUCAUUCUCCAGAUAGGUGGAUAUGGCUACUAAAGCUUCCAUUUUUUCCUCUGUCAUAUCUAGAUCUCCUAUAAUUACUUCGGAGAAAUUAGUUGGCAGUGAAAAUUAUCUUUCCUGGUCUGCCUCUGUUGAACUUUGGUUUAUGGGUCAAGGAUAUGAGGAUCACUUGAUUACACAGGAGGCAGAUAUCCCUGAGGUUGACCGCGUACAGUGGAGGAAGAUAGAUGCACAGUUAUGUAGUGUAUUAUGGCAAUCGGUUGAUCCCAAGAUUCUUCUUCAUCUUCAGGCCUACAAAACUUGUUUUAAAUUUUGGACUCAGGCCAAAGGAUUAUACACAAAUGAUAUCCAGCGUCUUUAUAAGGUGGCUUCUGCUAUUGUCCAUAUCAGCCAACAGGACUUGGAUCUAUCUACUUAUAUUGGCCAAGUUGCCUCUCUUAAGGAGGAGUUCUUGAUUGUGAUGCCUCUUACUCCUGAUGUUGGGGUUCAACAAACACAGCUUGACAAGUUCUUCAUGGUUCUUACUUUUAUUGGCCUCCGUCCGGAUCUUGAGCUUGUCUGCGAUCAGAUUCUUGGUAGUUCAUCAGUUCUGUCCUUGGAUGAUGUGUUUGCUCGCCUCCUCCGUAUCUCCUCCACUCAGACUUUGCCAUUUGAUAGCACUUCAGAUUCUUCUGUAUUAGUUUCUCAAACUAGCUCUCGAGGAGGCCGCAAUGGUACCCGAGGUAGAGGUCAACGUCCUCAUUGCACCUAUUGCAAUAAACUUGGCCACACUCGCGAUCGUUGCUAUCAGUUACAUGGACGGCCUCCUCGCACUGCCCAUGUGGCCCAGUCCUCUGAUUCUCCGCUGCCUCAGCCUCCGAGCUCUUCCGCAUCUCAGGCUUCUGUUGCCUCUGUUGCCCAGCCUGGUAAUGCCUCUGCCUGCCUUACCCACACAUCUUCUCUUGGACCCUGGAUUCUAGAUUCUGGAGCUUCUGAUCACCUAUUUGGUAAUAAGGAUCUUUUCUCCUCUAUUACUACUACCUCUGCUUUACCUACUGUUACCUUAGCUAAUGGUUCUCAAACUGUGGCUAAAGGUAUUGGUUUAGCCCUUCCUCUGCCUUCUCUACCUCUCACUUCUGUCCUUUAUACUCCUGAAUGUCCUUUUAAUCUUAUUUCCAUCAGCAAAAUCACUCGUACUCUUAAUUGCUCUAUUACCUUUUCUGAUAA